rnacentral:tRNA from 1 species
UGAAAGGUAGCCAAGUGGUAAGGCAACGCACUGUUAGUGCGUGUAUGCGUGGGUUCGAAUCCCACCCUUUCAGCCA